UCUCUUCUUCCUCUUACUCCCGCCGCCUCUUACUCUUCUUACACUUGGUUCUUGUUCGCUAACUCUUCUUCCCUUGCAUACACCGCCCACUUACUUAUCUUAUUUCCAGCUCGUGUGAUCUUCCUCCUCCUGCUUCUUAUUCUUUUACCUUCUUGCUCUUGUUUCAUUUCAUCUACCACCACCUCUUCUUCUUCUUGCUUUUGACUAAUGUUCUUUUUCCCUUGUUCUUCUUCGACGUCUUUCUCCUCCUCCUCCUCCUUCACUUCGCCGUCCUCUCCCCUCUCAUAACUCUGCCUCUGACUUCCCUCCCGUCCCUCACCAGCCACCGUGACUUCAUUCCUCACUACUCUCAGUCGCCGUUCCUUCCUUUACUCUGUAGCACACCACGCACCUUCAAGUGAUACCUCGUGCCUAUUGUAACUCUCUCUCUCUCUCUCUCUCUCUCUCUCUCUCUCUCUCUCUCUCCACCAGCAGGUCCGCUCUUUACUCUGUCAUGUUUGUCAUCGUCCUUCUUUAUUUUCUCCUUCAAUCUUAUUUUCCCUCUCUCUUGCUCUCUCUUUCUCUCACACACUCGCUCUUCUUUUCCUUCAUCUCUUUCUCCUCCAUUUCUCCGCCUCCUUUGCCUGCUCCUUUACUCGCCAAGACUCCGUGAUACUCAGCGCUGGGCGAAAAGUGAGCGAGAGAGAGGAAAAAAAGUGAGACAGGAGAGGAAAGAUAAAUGUGACUCAAUGGAAAUGCGAAAAGUGAAACCUGUGUACGUGGAAGUUUAGGUAUUGACGCGCAUUGCAUAUGGCCGGCGUGUGUUCGCUGUGAGCUGUGGUCCUUCUGUCUCUAGGGACUACCAGCGCCGCGUCCCUCAUUCCACAAACACGUGACGUGGCGGUCUUCCUCCUCCUCCUUCCUCCCGUGCCUCCCAACCGAGAGACACUGACAAAGAUGAAGGACAGCGUCAGAAACAUGGAUACUGUGUAAGGACGACAAGAAAGCCAUCAAGCCCGGUGAUGUACGGAAGAAAAGGAAAGAAAAAUACAAUAUGAGUAGCCACUGCGGGGACAUCAAGGAGGACCCAACAGCUCACUCUCUCUCUCUCUCUCUCUCUCUCUCUCUCUCUGACUGCCAGAAAGAUGAUGGAGAAGAAACGCAAGAAAGGCAGGUUUAAUAAUUAUGUCAAUUAGCUUCGUCCUUUGUCUGUUGAGGAGGAGGAAGAAGAAGAGGAGGAGGAAAAGGUGGUUGCAGGAAGAGAGCAAGAAAAUAAUAUAGAAAAAAGUCUUGAUGAUUAUGAUAAUGACGGCGACGAGAAGGAGGACAAAAAAAAAAGAAGGAAAAGAUAAAAAAAAUAAUGACAACAAUAGCAGCAAAGAAGACGAGUACAAAAUGAUUGAGGAUUAUGAAUAAUGAGAGAAUAAGUAAGUAAGUAAAGAAUAAAAGCUCC